rnacentral:rRNA from 1 species
UCCUAGCUGUAAACGAUGCUCGCUAGGUGUCAGGCACGGUGCGUCCGUGUUUGGUGCCGUAGGGAAGCCGAGAAGCGAGCCACCUGGGAAGUACGAUCGCAAGGCUGAAACUUAAAGGAAUUGGCGGGGGAGCACUACAACGGGUGGAGCCUGCGGUUCAAUUGGAUUCAACGCCGGAAAGCUUACCGGGUCAGACAGCAUUAUGAAGGUCAGGCUAAAGACCUUACCGAAUUCGCUGAGAGGAGGUGCAUGGCCGUCGUCAGUUCGUAUCGUGAGACAUCCUGUUAAGUCAGGCAACGA